rnacentral:rRNA from 1 species
GACGAACGCUGGCGGCGUGCUUAACACAUGCAAGUCGAACGCUGAAGCUCAGCUUUUGUUGGGUGGAUGAGUGGCGAACGGGUGAGUAACACGUGAGUAACCUGCCCCCUUCUUUGGGAUAACGCCGGGAAACGGGUGCUAAUACUGGAUAUUCACUGGUCUUCGCAUGGGGGUGGGGGGAAGGGGUUUUUCUGGUGGGGGAUGGGCUCGCGGCCUAUCAGCUUGUUGGUGGGGUGAUGGCCUACCAAGGCUUUGACGGGUAGCCGGCCUGAGAGGGUGACCGGUCACAUUGGGACUGAGAUACGGCCCAGACUCCUACGGGAGGCAGCAGUGGGGAAUAUUGCACAAUGGGCGCAAGCCUGAUGCAGCGACGCCGCGUGAGGGAUGGAGGCCUUCGGGUUGUGAACCUCUUUCGCUCAUGGUCAAGCCGCAACAAUGGUUGUGGUGAGGGUAGUGGGUAAAGAAGCGCCGGCUAACUACGUG